rnacentral:lncRNA from 8 species
CGACAGGAAGCUGUCCAAGAUCGAGACUCUGCGGCUGGCAUCCAGCUACAUCUCCCACCUGGGUAAUGUGCUGCUGGUGGGCGAGGCGUGUGGGGAUGGGCAGCCGUGCCACACCUCCACACCCCCAUUCCACCACCACACCCUCCACAGUCUCAGCCCCUCGCCCGGCCGGGGCUCAGAGAACCAGCCCAAACACAUCUGUACUUUCUGCCUCAGCAAGCAGAGGAAAAUGGGUCUACAUGAACAUGAACAUAAGACCCUUGCAGCCUACUGUGGGAUCCUCAAAAAGAGACAUCAGCACGUUCACCAAGACCUCUGACACAGCAAAUCGAGCCGUUGGUGUUUUCACCUAUGAGAUGUUCAGUCCCUCCAAGAAGAAGCACACUGAGAUAAUAGCUGUCAUGUUCUCUGUGCCCUAUGACUAGAAUUGGUACUCAAACUGGUUUGCAGCGGGAAUCUUCAACAAGGACAAAAGCUGUGAUGACACUCUUUGUGAUGAGAUGUAUAACUGUGGGCAGAGGAAAUGUGUCAGAGCAAAUGGCUCCAGUAUCGCUUAUAAAAGCCAUCAUGUGACCAUCAAGGCCUCAACGUCAAACAGUGGCUGUGCAGUCGUGAAGGUGGAGGUGUGUGACAAUUGACAGCGCAGACAUUACUAAAGUUAAAUCACUGAUGGUGUCCAACUGUUUAUACGCAAUUUCAAUGUGAUUUUUCCAGAAUAACUUCAACUCUAAUCAAUAAAUGGCAAACUAAGCUGAGAUUGUGUUUGGUUCUGAGUUUCCAAAAACAAAGCAAACAUUGUAUUGAACUUUUGAAAUGUGUUCAUUUCUAGAGUAUGUUGUUUUUAUUGCCACUCAAUAGCUGACAUGACUCCUAUGUUAAAAUGAAUCCAGUUAUCCAGUUCCAAUGUACAAUUCUGCAUUUUGGUGCUUCAUGAGUGUUUUUCCCCCUAGAACAAGGGUAUUUAACUCUUACCCUACGAGGCCAAAGGACUGCUGGUUUUCUGUUCUACCUGAUAAUGAAUUGUACUCACCUGGAGUCCCAGGUCUAAAUCAGUCGGUGAUUAGAGGGGAACAAUGAAAAAAGGCAGUGGAACUGACUUCCAGGUCCAGAGUUGAGUUUGAGGGUCCUAGAAGAUAAAGAAUAUGAUUGAAAGACUGGUUUGAAUAUACAACAUCAGCGGAAGAAUAUAAUAAUUAUUAAGCUAAAUUAAUCAGUACUGACUAAGAUUUUCUCUUGUCGGCUGUAUGAAAACAAUUUUUAUUUUCUAUGAAUGACGAGGGAAUUUGGAGAUUUUGUAACGGUUGUCGUCAGAUAAAGCGGACCAAGACGCAGCGGGGAAAUGUACACUCAUCUUCUUUAUUAAAGAAAAGAAACACGUACACAAACACCACAACGACAAAUAACAGUCUGGUAAGGCACAAGGCUAUACACAGAACAAUCUCCCACAAACUCCAAACACAAACACAUACCUAAUUAUAGGACUCUCAAUCAGAGGCAACUAGAAAACACCUGCCUCCAGAGUUCAACACCCAAUACCUAAACAUAGAAAUACUAAACUAGAAAGAACAUAGAAAUACAAAAACAUAGAACAUAACCCAAAACCCGGAAAUAAUAAAUCAAACACCCUUCUAAACAAACCACCACCCCGAACCACAUAAAACAAAUACCCCCUGCCACGUCCUGACCAAACUACAAUACAAAUAACCCCUAUUACUGGUCAGGACGUGACAGAUUUAGAGAUUAUGCAUAGGAGGGGCACAUAUGUAUGCAGAGGGGCAGUACCAAUUUGUUAAAUGUAUUUAUUUUUUACCUUGGUCAAUGUGUCACGUCCUGACCAGUAAAGUAUAUUUGUUAUUAUAGUUUGGUCAGGACGUGGCAGGGGGCGUUUGUUUUAUGUGGUUCGGGGUUUGUUGGGAUAUGUCCUCAUGUAAGAGGGGUGUUUGUUUUAUGUGUUCCGGGGUUUUUGGGUAUUGUUCUAUGUUUUGUAUUUCUAUGAUUUUCUAUGUUGUGUAUUUCUUUGUUGGCCUGGUAUGGCUCUCAAUCAGGAACAGCUGUACAUCGUUGUUGCUGAUUGGGUGUCAUACUUAGGUAGCCCUUUUUUCACUUGUGUUUUGUGGGAUUUUUUUUAUUUUUAUAUAUAUGUAUAUAUAUUUUGCAUAGCUGUGUGUAGCCUGCAUUACUGUGCGUGCGUUCGUUUUCUUGUUUUGUUUUUUCAGUGUUCAAAUAAAAGUUAAAAUGAGCACUCAACCCACUGCGCCUUAGUCCACUUCAUACGACAACCGUUACACAAUGUGUCUAUGUUUAUAGUAGCUUGGCCUAUAAUGCUGUAUUCUAGUCAUCGGGGGACUACAAUUAUGAGUACAAAAUAAUUGGGAGCAUAUUUACAUUCUGUGAUUUUCCUUCAUAUAGGUUUGUUAUUUGGGUGAAAUAGCCCUUUAAGAUUUCUCACAAAAGUCAAAGUGUGAAGCCAUAUUAUUAUCACAUUGAAAAUAGUUUAGUACCAGUAUGGAGAAGACUAUAGACUUUUUCUUUUAGUUUUUGCAAAGAUCAGAAAGUUGAGGACUUCUCACAGGCAAGCCGGGUCUCAGUGCAUAAUGCUCCACAGGCACGGACGGCAUGCACCCCAAAAAUCUGAGGGGGCACAAAGUAUGUGGCGAUGGCUGGGGGGGGUGGUUGGAAAAUGUAGCAUUUUUCAAACACCUGAAACAGCUUUUUCUUGCAAUCUAGAGCC